rnacentral:rRNA from 1 species
GAUGAACGCUGGCGGCGUGCCUAAUACAUGCAAGUCGAGCGAACGGACGAGAAGCUUGCUUCUCUGAUGUUAGCGGCGGACGGGUGAGUAACACGUGGAUAACCUACCUAUAAGACUGGGAUAACUUCGGGAAACCGGAGCUAGUACCGGAUGAUAUUUUGAACCGCAUGGGUCAAUAGUGAAAGACGGUCUUGCGGUCACUUAUAGAUGGAUCCGCGCUGCAUUAGCUAGUUGGUAAGGUAACGGCUUACCACGGCAACGAUGCAUAGCCGACCUGCGAGGGUGAUCGGCCACACUGGAACUGAGACACGGUACAGAGUCCUACGUGAGGCAGCAGUAGGGAAUCUUCCGAACAGGGCGAAAGCCUGAAGGAGCGACGCCGCGUGAGUGAUGAAGGUCUUCGUAUCGUAAACUCUGUUAUUAGGGAAGAACAUAUGUGUAAGUAACUGUGCACAUCUUGACGGUACCUAAUCAGAAAGCCACGGCUAACUACGUG